rnacentral:rRNA from 1 species
GACGAACGCUGGCGGCGUGCUUAACACAUGCAAGUCGAACGGAAAGGCCCUGCUUUUGUGGGGUGCUCGAGUGGCGAACGGGUGAGUAACACGUGAGUAACCUGCCCUUGACUUUGGGAUAACUUCAGGAAACUGGGGCUAAUACCGGAUAGGAGCUCCUGCUGCAUGGGGGGGGUUGGAAAGUUUCGGCGGUUGGGGCUGGACUCGCGGCUUAUCCGCUUGUUGGUGGGGUAGUGGCUUACCAAGGCUUUGACGGGUAGCCGGCCUGAGAGGGGGACCGGCCACAUUGGGACUGAGAUACGGCCCAGACUCCUACGGGAGGCAGCAGUGGGGAAUAUUGCACAAUGGGCGGAAGCCUGAUGCAGCAACGCCGCGUGCGGGAUGACGGCCUUCGGGUUGUAAACCGCUUUCGCCUGUGACGAAGCGUGAGUGACGGUAAUGGGUAAAGAAGCACCGGCUAACUACGUG